GAUGAACGCUGGCGGCGUGCCUAAUACAUGCAAGUCGAGCGAACGGACGAUAAGCUUGCUUCUCUGAUGUUAGCGGCGGACGGGUGAGUAACACGUGGAUAACCUACCUAUAAGACUGGGAUAACUUCGGGAAACCGUAGCUAAUACCGGAUAAUAUUUUGAACCGCAUGGUUCAAAAGUGAAAGACGGUCUUGCUGUCUCUUAUAGAUGGUUCCGCGCUGCAUUAGCUAGUUGGUAAGGUAACGGCUUACCAAGGCAACGAUGCAUAGCCGACCUGAGAGGGUGAUCGGCCACACUGGAACUGAGACACGGUCCAGACUCCUACGGGAGGCAGCAGUAGGGAAUCGUCCGCAAUGGGCGAAAGCCUGACGGAGCAACGCCGCGUGAGUGAUGAAGGUCUUCGGAUCGUAAAGCCCUGUUAUUAGGGAAGAACAUAUGUGGAAGUAACUGUGCACAUCUUGACGGUACCUAAUCAGAAAGCCACGGCUAACUACGUG
rnacentral:rRNA from 1 species